CCUACGGGCGGCAGCAGUGGGGAAUAUUGGACAAUGGGGGGAACCCUGAUCCAGCCAUGCCGCGUGUGUGAAGAAGGCCCUCGGGUUGUAAAGCACUUUCAGUGAGGAAGAACGCCUGGUGGUUAAUACCCAUCAGGAAAGACAUCACUCACAGAAGAAGCACCGGCUAACUCCGUGCCAGCAGCCGCGGUAAUACGGAGGGUGCGAGUGUUAAUCGGAAUUACUGGGCGUAAAGCGCGCGUAGGUGGCUUGAUAAGCCGGUUGUGAAAGCCCCGGGCUCAACCUGGGAACGGCAUCCGGAACUGUCAAGCUAGAGUGCAGGAGAGGAAGGUAGAAUUCCCGGUGUAGCGGUGAAAUGCGUAGAGAUCGGGAGGAAUACCAGUGGCGAAGGCGGCCUUCUGGACUGACACUGACACUGAGGUGCGAAAGCGUGGGUAGCAAACAGGAUUAGAUACCCCGGUAGUC
rnacentral:rRNA from 1 species